UACGAAGGGGGCUAGCGUUGCUCGGAAUCACUGGGCGUAAAGGGUGCGUAGGUAGGUCUUUAAGUCAGGGGUGAAAUCCUGGAGCUCAACUCCAGAACUGCCUUUGAUACUGAAGAUCUUGAGUUCGGGAGAGGUGAGUGGAACUGCGAGUGUAGAGGUGAAAUUCGUAGAUAUUCGCAAGAACACCAGUGGCGAAGGCGGCUCACUGGCCCGAUACUGACGCUGAGGCACGAAAGCGUGGGGAGCAAACAGG
rnacentral:rRNA from 1 species